UACAUAAUAUAAUAACAAAUAUUAUAACUUUCAAUGAGUGAUGAUAGUCGUAGUUAUGUGUGCGUUCAUAUAUUGUAUUCAAAAAUUUUAAAUUAAAUGUUUUGUGGAUUUAGUAUUGUUUGUGUGCUUUCUCGAAAGUACAACUUUAGCAUAAAUGGAAUGAGUCAUUCCGAACAUUCCGCGAAAAUCGAACUUUUAAUGGGGCUCAUAUGGACAGACAAACUGAAAUAACUUACCGAUUUAUUUUCGUUUUUAUGGACCGCAUCAAGAGCAUCAAACAUGGACGAAUUUUUGACAAGACGGCUUCUGAUGCUUUGCUCACUAUGAAGAUAUAUAGAUCCGCCAUCCGAAGUGUCCACGAGGUGGUACAUUUUUUUCCCAUUAUUUACGACAACCUUUAUUAAUAAAUAUGUUAAAUGUUUAUAAAA